rnacentral:rRNA from 1 species
AUGCAUGAUGCAGAGCGAAUGACAGGCGCACGAGAUGUGGGGAGUCAUGUGCGUGCGUGGGUUGAUUCCCACGCGCCUUCAAUGGAGUGGGGAGGGCGGUCGACGGCCCCUCUUUCUGUCACUUCAAUGGGCCGGAUUGGCCGAGAGGGGGUGGCCGAGGCUCGCCCCCGCCUCUUUAUAAAGAGGGGAGCGGGAGGAACGGUGCCUCUCAAUCCUUCGCCAUUUGCCUCUCCCCAUUCCCGCUUCCUCCUUUCUUCUGCCAUGGCAAGGGGGCAUGGCGACACUUCAUCGGUGCCGGCAAGGGUCUCGGCUCGACAACGCAUCGCCCCUCUCCAAGAGCUCGUAGUGGCAGAGCUGGCCGUGAGUGGGAGGAGGAGGGGGCGAGGUCGAGGCGGUCAUGGCGCUCGGGGGAGAGGAGGACGGGGCGGCAGACCGGCCUCGCCUCCACCAGCGGCCGCUCCUCCGAUGGAGGGCCACGUUAGGCACAACCCUUGCGAGUUCUUCGUCAGGCUACGCUAG